GGGUGUAUGAAUGAAUAUUGUGUGAGAAAGCAUGUUGUGUGAGGUAUUGAGCUUCAGAGUUUUCAUUGUUGUAUGUAUUGUUCACAGGAAAGCAUGAAUGAUAUUGCCUUAAUCUGGAUGAUUGAUUGAAUUGCAUGUGAAUGUCAUAUGAUCAAGGCCAUUUUUAAGAACCCUUCUCUAGCCAAAUUUUCACCCAAAAUGCUUGAAAAUGUUAUACCCUUUUUGAACCUUAGCCUUAACAGGAUGUGAACCCUUGUCUUGACAUUCUUUACCUUGAGUUGGGAUGAGCUUAAUUGUUUGUGACGAAAAGGUUCAAGUUUGGGGUUGCAUGGGGGAAAUUGGAAGGCACUUGAAAAGCAUUGAGCUCAAAUGUGUGAAAGAAAAAUACGUGAGAAAAAGAAAAGAAAAGAAGAAAAACAAGAAGGUGGGCUCAAUGCAAAAGAAAAGGGAAAAAGUUGGGAAUAAGUGAGAUUGGUGAGGAAGAGAGUUGUACUUAAAUGUUGAAUAUUAUGGUAGCUCUCUUAACUCAAGGAUUUUGCAUUCCAGAAAAACCAAUUUUUCUUGUUAGCCCAGCCUCAUUACAAGCUUUAGAAAAGUCCUUUUGAUGGCAUUUGCAU
rnacentral:lncRNA from 1 species